AUAGAUAAGGGACCGGUCAUUAUUUAUGGCGGGGGGUGGCACCGAAGAGAAAAUGGUUGGGUAAACUAAAUUUUGAGUAAGUAAAAGGUUGGGUAAAUGAAAAACAAAACAACUCAAGGGUUGGGUAAUAAAAAGUUAUAGUCAUAUGUCAAUACAAUAAGUGAAUCAAUCAGUCACUGUCUUGAUCAUUUUCCAAUUUGUUAGAAGACAAAUGUGUUUCCAAAGAAAGCACAUGUGCAGACAACAUGAUACAUUAGACUGCAGCAAAUUUCACAAGCAGUUAUCUAACUCCUGUCACAGAAAUCGGGUAAAGGACAUAUGUGACAACUGAA
rnacentral:lncRNA from 1 species